rnacentral:rRNA from 1 species
UGGGGAAUAUUGCACAAUGGGCGAAAGCCUGAUGCAGCAACGCCGCGUGAGUGAUGAAGGUCUUCGGAUUGUAAAGCUCUGUCUUUUGGGACGAUAAUGACGGUACCAAAGGAGGAAGCCACGGCUAACUACGUGCCAGCAGCCGCGGUAAUACGUAGGUGGCGAGCGUUGUCCGGAUUUACUGGGCGUAAAGGGUGCGCAGGCGGAUGUUUAAGUGAGAUGUGAAAUACCCGGGCUUAACUUGGGUGCUGCAUUUCAAACUGGAUAUCUAGAGUGCAGGAGAGGAGAAUGGAAUUCCCUAGUGUAGCGGUGAAAUGCGUAGAGAUUAGGAAGAACACCAGUGGCGAAGGCGAUUCUCUGGACUGUAACUGACGCUGAGGCACGAAAGCGUGGGUAGCAAACAGGAUUAGAUACCCUGGUAGUCCACGCCGUAAACGAUGAGUACUAGGUGUAGGAGGUAUCGACCCCUUCUGUGCCGC